UUGGUCUUGUAAGCCAUAAAUGAAAGCCAUUUUCUAAGGGUAUUCAGGGAAGAGGUCCACUUA
rnacentral:tRNA from 1 species